rnacentral:tRNA from 5 species
GCGUCCUUAGCUCAGUUGGAUAGAGCAACAGCCUUCUAAGCUGUGGGUCAGAGGUUCGAUUCCUCUAGGACGCGCCA